GAGUUUGAUCCUGGCUCAGAUUGAACGCUGGCGGCAUGCUGUACACAUGCAAGUCGAACGGCAGCGCGGGGCAACCUGGCGGCGAGUGGCGAACGGGUGAGUAAUAUAUCGGAACGUACCCAAGAGUGGGGGAUAACGUAGCGAAAGUUACGCUAAUACCGCAUACGAUCUAAGGAUGAAAGCAGGGGACCGCAAGGCCUUGUGCUCCUGGAGCGGCCGAUAUCUGAUUAGCUAGUUGGUAGGGUAAAGGCCUACCAAGGCUACGAUCAGUAGCUGGUCUGAGAGGACGACCAGCCACACUGGAACUGAGACACGGUCCAGACUCCUACGGGAGGCAGCAGUGGGGAAUUUUGGACAAUGGGCGCAAGCCUGAUCCAGCAAUGCCGCGUGAGUGAAGAAGGCCUUCGGGUUGUAAAGCUCUUUUGUCAGGGAAGAAACGGUGGGGGCUAAUAUCCUCCACUAAUGACGGUACCUGAAGAAUAAGCACCGGCUAACUACGUGCCAGCAGCCGCGGUAAUACGUAGGGUGCAAGCGUUAAUCGGAAUUACUGGGCGUAAAGCGUGCGCAGGCGGUUUUGUAAGUCUGAUGUGAAAUCCCCGGGCUCAACCUGGGAAUUGCAUUGGAGACUGCAAGGCUAGAAUCUGGCAGAGGGGGGUAGAAUUCCACGUGUAGCAGUGAAAUGCGUAGAGAUGUGGAGGAACACCGAUGGCGAAGGCAGCCCCCUGGGUCAAGAUUGACGCUCAUGCACGGAAGCGUGGGGAGCAAACAGGAUUAGAUACCCUGGUAGUCCACGCCCUAAACGAUGUCUACUAGU
rnacentral:rRNA from 1 species